AGUCUAAAGUGUACUAUUGAAUUUGGACAUUUAAGACAUUUUAGUACUCGUGUCUCUUACCCUGAUACUAAAUAGCCACGUAUUCUCUUCAUCUCAGUAGAUUUCAUAGCCAUGGCUGACACAUAUUUUAACUUCUAUCUGGGUUGAUUUUACACCCACCUACUUCCCUUUCUCUUCAUUUUAUUUUUUCUUAUUUUUUGGUUUUCCUUAGGGUUGUGUUCAUAUUUUCUAACUAUUGGGUUACGUGCACAAAGAAGAUACCACGUUUACUUAUUGUGAUUCUUGAAAUUUGUGUAGCUUUAACUCUUCUGUUAAUUGAUUAUUCAGCUGCAUAUGAAGAUGGAAGGAAAGACAACAAUAAGACGCCUUGCGUGUAUUCCCUUUCAUAAGCUACAGACCUCGUUUCCAGAAAUUCAUUUUUGUCAUCAAGAGAGCUUCGGGAUAAUACACUUGAUGAAUCACAGGUCAUCGUGUCUCUGCUGAAAUCACCAAGGGAAAUGUCUUCCCCCUGUUAUGUAGUCCUCUGCGAUAUGCUUCCUGAUCCUUUAAGUAAACAACUAUAGGAGAUUCUUUUCGAAAAACUAUGCUUCACUUUAGGUUUCACAGACUCUGAAUUAGUGGAUGAAUUUUGUAAGAGACGUCUUUUCCUCUUCUAAUCAUACCUAUCAUUGCACUUUUUUAGAAAGCGAUGCUUACUUCUAGAAGAAUAAACCUUCCAUGCCCAUCUUUUGUCCCUUUAGUCCACACCCCAAAGUAGUAACUUCCAUUGGCAAAUCGGUAACAGCCUGACCCAAGUCUUAAACCAUUCAACCAACAUCCAUCAAAAACUCUUAACUCUUAUUAUCCGUAUUAGUGUGCAAUUACCUUUACAGUGCACAUGACCCUAAGAUCCAGGAUCGACCUGAUAACAGCCGACACUCCUGACUGAACAGGUCCAGAUCAUCGAUAUCAGUCGAGAGAGAAAACAUCCUGUGAAACAAAUUCUAUUCCAAAAUAUCUUUUUAGAAGAUGAACGGGUGCUCCCACCAAUGUAGUGGUGGCAAGAAGAUGCAAUAUGUAAAAGCUUUUGAUAAUUUCAAGUGGUGGCAAGAAGAUGCAAUAUGUACAAACUACCAUCUUUUGUAAGCAGGGUCAAUUUCAAAGUCGAUUUGUUGAAGUGACACCUACAAUAUCAGAAGGUAUAACUUAGCUCCAUCCGUGAGAAUGUUUUGUCUGCACUCUAACUGACAUGAAGUAUAUGGUGUUUCACGGAGUUGUUCACACAAGGAAGAUGGAAGCUUAACAGGGAGGUCAAGGGACAAUGGGCACAUGCUUGAAACUUGCCUCAUUUUUUAUGUUAUGGAGUGUCCAUAGAGGGGUAAAUGGAAAAGCUCAAGCUUUGCACAAAGGAAUAAGUUGUCGGUAAGAUUUCUCUAAGGUGAAGCAAUGCUGCCAAUUUGAAAAAAAAAAGGUCUUUAGACAUUUCUUUAUAUAGGCAGGCGUAUGAAUCUGUCGUAUUCCAUUUCAAUGCUCCUUUUUUAUAUAAAAUGACCAAGCUAUAGGUUAAAAAUCAAGUUCUUGUGUUUAUAUCGAGAAGUGUAGGGUGAUUUUCAUUUAAUACAUCAAUGUAACUCAAUGCAUACAGCAUAGCAUCAUGCCUUCUUUUGUGCUCCGAUCAGAUUGCUUGUGAAAUUAAUUUGAAAUCAUAUAUUGCUGCAGUAAUUUUUCAUCAUCAAUCUACUAUUUCUCACUAAAUAUGUGUUCACUUACCUAAUGAUCUUAUCAUACCAUCCAUGUUUUUCGAACCAAAUAGUAUGCUGAAGCUUCUACUUCUAUUAUUGAUGAUAGAAUCAGUGAAGCAAAACAUGAAGAGAAUCACAUAAUAUUACUAAGGCUCAUAGGCCCGAUUUUCUGGAUUCCUUCGGACCCCGGUAAAUUAGUUUGUUCAUGAGCUGCCUCUAAAGUAUGAGCGAGUGUGGAAAAGGAGCUCACUGAGUGCAGCAAUUUAUAGUGGGAAUUUUCUAAGGUGACUAUUGUACAUAUAUAUAAGGAAGAAAUUUACAAUGUUUUUAGGUAAUUUCUAGGGUGAUUAUGUGAUAUAUGUACAAGAGAUCAAUUAAGUUAUUUCAAUUGAGUUAUCAAGGAAAUGUAUGGAAAAGAUGCAACUGGAGCUAAGGAGAUUAUGGACCCCAAUGUAAAUUAUGUUGGCGAAAAGACAAAUAUAUCAAUGGAAGUAGUCAGGGAGUCAGAUUAUAGUUAUAAUAUAUGUCCCCUUUUUUUUCAUCUAAUUUGUAGAAAAUGCUAGCACUGUGUUGCUGCAUAAACUUCUUAUUUUUGCUACUGUUUUUCGUGAGUCCUUCAAAGGAUUAAGUUGAUUACUGUUUUAGUACAGGCUUUAACAUAAAGAAAUUUCAUGUAAAAGGCUUAAUAUAUUUAAUGUGAAAGGCAAAUUUUUAUGCUUUCUUUCUUUACAGGUUACUCUUAUUAGAAGAGAACCAAAGUUCUUUACAUUCAGUUUCGUAUAAGCAAGGUGAAGAUGGGCGUCCUUUCUCCACAUACUUCUUUAUAACUGACACCAAUGACGGAGUGUCAGCUUUGGUAAACAAGGUCAAUUUCAAAGACCAAUUGUUAGAGCGACGCAGAAGGUUGGAAUUAGUGAAUUUUGUACCCCAAAUUUAAAAUAUCAUUUCAUUUUGAAGCUUAUAACUUUCUAAAAAGGCUUGGCAAGGUAUUAUCUUUCUUUGGUAAUGGCCUCACAGAAAUGGUUCUUAACGUGUGCUCUAUUAUGUUAUACUCCCUCCGUUUCGGAAUAAGUGAAUUGUUUGGGGUA